CUCUCACUGACUCUAUAUUUUUCUUCUCCCCUGCUCACAGGCUUUUUGAUGAUACUCAGCUUCUUGUAAGCAGUGCUGGUGGUACUUAGGAGCACUUAGCUAAAGCAGUCACUAAAAUUGUCAGUACUAUGCAAACUGAAGCAGAUCAAGUCAAGAAAGGAGCUUUGUCACUUAACUUUGAUGAUGUUGAGGUUUAAGUUAGCUUUUCUAUUCUUUCUUUCUUGCAGUUUAUAUAAUUGUUAUUACUUGAUGGUGUAAGAGAUGUUGCUAAUGCUCUGGUUGAUCUAACUAAUGCCACUCAAGUUGCUUGGGGCAAGAGUGUCAGUCACCCUUUUAUAGAGAACCUUAAAAAAUUGCUAAGGUAAUGGAACAUUUGAAUUCUUAUGCACUUGAUGGAUCUCCCUUCUUCCUCUCCUUUCCUAUGAAAAUGGUUGGUAAAGCUAUAGUCGAUUCUUAAAGACAAUUAAGAAUGUUCAAAAUGAAGCUGCUCAUGCAGGGCAUUUAAUUGCUUGAAAAGACCAUUGACUCCUUUGAAAGUGACCUUAUGGAAUUCCAAUCUUCUAAGCCACCACAAUUAGUUAAAGCUAAAGCUACCCCAGAGAAACUUCUCUAAGUCACCCAAGCCAUUGCUCUUGCCUCCUCAAAAACAGUCACAGCCAGAAACAGCUGCUAGUAGGUUGAUGUAUCAGCAGCUGCUAAUCUCAGAUACCAAGCUGUUCAUGAUCUCCUGUUGAUUAGCAAAGCAGUUGCACAAAACUUUACACAGACUAAAGAACUGGCUGAAAAGUCAUGGCCUGUUUUUAAGAAUAUGCCAUUGCCUAUAAAGCUUUGCUGCAGUUCCUACAUCACAUUGUACUUAAAUCAGAUAACUCCUCCCUUCGUGUUAAGCUCCUCUCAUUCACAAGAGAGGUUGCUAGUGCUGUCAGUGACAUUGUUAAGAUUACCAGUGAGUUUAAGUAAGGAGCUGGUUUCAUUGUUGAUAUGAGUAAUCCUGAGGUCAGAGCUAAACAAGAACUCCUUGCAGCUGCCACCUCUAUUGAAGCUGCGUUGAUGUAUCUUUCAAAAUUGUUAUUGUUUCAUUUCUCACUGAUUCAGACCACUGAUGCUCAUUUGAAUUUUGAUGCUCAGAUCCUUGAGGCUGCCAAGAGCAUUGCAGCUGCCACCAAGAGCCUGGUACAGUCGGCUAUAGACACUCAACGCGGGAACUGACAGAACAAGGGAAAAGUAGAUCUUUCCUUGCCUUGCAGAUAGUCUGUGGUCUGAUGGACUUGUUUCUGCUGCCAAGUUAGUAGCUGAGUUAACCUGUCAGUUAUGUGAAGCAGCUAGUGAUGUGGUUCAAGGUGAAGGUGAUGCACAGGAAGGAAGACUCUUUUGGGGCCUCUAAUGCAGUUGCUGCUACUACUGCACAACUCCUUUAUGCUGUUUAAGUUAUGGCUGAUCCCACUCUGAAAAUAAUAAGAGACUACAAGCAAAGAAUAUGGGAGAGAGAGAUGAAUGGAGAAGAGGGACAGUAAGGAGUGAAUGGAGAUAUACAGGAACACGAAGCUGAUUGUAUUGUUAUUAUUAUUUAUUAUUGAUCAAUAGAGAGCUGGCCAACAAGUCAAGAAGGCUACAGAGACACUUGUCAAAGCAGCAAAAGACUCAGCUGACAAUGCAAUGGAAAGAAAGGUUGAUGCAUUUGAAGAGUUAAUUAGAUAUAGUAAAAAUCCAACUCUAAUCAUGGAAGCUCAAGCACGGAUUGCUGAAAAACAGAGAGAAUUAGAACUGCUCUACCAAGAACUAAUUGGGAUCCAUCAAAAGAAAUGAGUAAUUAAAAACCUUUAAAAACAAUAGUCACUUUUACAACAUUUGUGAUAACUUUGGAAGGCGGAAGACCAUUACGAGAGACUAGAUGAUAAUUAAGGACAAAAAGAGGAGGGAGAGAAGGAGAGACAGA